UAUAUAUUGUCCUUACGAUGUGGUAAGCAUUAUUCUAAACACUUGGUAGGUAUUAACUAGAUUAAUUAUUGCAACAACUCAUGUUGUAUAAGCGUCUGAAUAAUUGGAUAAAUACAAUUAUGAGCCCCUUUUUACAGACAUUGGAAGACAGGCAUCAGGAAGCUAAGGAACAUCCCCAAGGUCAGUGGUGAAGUUUGAGAUAUCCAGUUAUCUUCAGAUGGUGCUGCUGGAACAUUUUAUGAAAGGAAAUAAUUGAGUUCUUGGUUAAAGAAGAUAAUGAAUGACUCUCAAAGAAAAGUAGUGAAGUAAGGCUCACCCGGAACCCUCCUUCAUGGUCUGUGGGCCCCUGACCCCCUCUGGCUUUGGUAAGCUCCAUGAGCCCAGAGACCCCUGUGCCUGAAAACAACAUAGACGGAAGGCAAUGGGCUUUGAGAUUGGGUAGGCCACCAAUAUAUUAGCCAAUGCCCUGUGUCUACAAAGCUACCAACAGUGUCAACCCUGGUCUUGGGCUUCUCUGGCUGAGCUGAAGCUCUCUCCUGACCCCAUCCCACCUAACUUUUCAGAUUCUGUCUACCUGGGCCUGUAGAAUUUGCUCCUAUGUUGUCUUCUCUGAAGAGACAGUGUGGCUCAGUCUUUGAAAUAUACCCUGAAGAAGACAUAUUGGUAUCUGAGUCCUAGCAUUGCCAUUCACUAGCCUCUGGAUGACUUUGAACACAUUAUUUCAGGGUUUCAUGCCUCAGUUUGCUUAUCCAUAAAAUGGGGAUUUUCACGGUGUUUGUGAAGAUCACGUGAUGUAAUGUAUGUCAAGCAUGUAUGUAAUGUACAGUUACGUACAAUGUCUGGGUGCGUGGCUUAUGCUGGAGGCUAGUUCCCCCUCCCUCCCCCCUUACCUUCCUUUCUUCUUCUUUUUUAAAAGUCACUCCUCUUUGGGCUUCAAAUUCCCACUGAAGAAAGGAGGGACUAGAUUAUUGACAUCCCUUCAUUUUUAUAUUCUGUGGUGGAAAACUGUGGUGUCGAAUAGUUAAGAUGCAUACAGAUUAGUCUGUAUUACAAAGACCCAAAGACCAAAUUACAGUCACAGAGAUGUCUCUUGCUAGAUAGUUGAAUAAUUUAACACACAUAUAUCAGUUGUGUCCAAAGAUGAGGCAGGCAAACUUGUUUUGCCUUUUUUUGGAACUGACAAUGCAGUCAGGAAGG
rnacentral:lncRNA from 1 species